rnacentral:rRNA from 1 species
AAAAAAGGUAAGCUACUAAGAGCGAAUGGUGGAUGCCUUGACUGGUAAAGGCGAUGAAGGACGUACUAGACUGCGAUAAGCUACGGGGAGCUGUCAAGAAGCUUUGAUCCGUAGAUUUCCGAAUGGGGCAACCCAAUGUAUAGAGAUAUGCAUUACCUAUAUAGGAGCGAACGAGGGGAAUUGAAACAUCUUAGUACCCUCAGGAAAAGAAAUCAAUAGAGAUUGCGUCAGUAGCGGCGAGCGAAAGCGCAAGAGGGCAAACCCAGUGCUUGCACUGGGGGUUGUAGGACUGCAAUGUGCAAGAGGUAAGUUUAGCAGAACAUUCUGGAAAGUAUAACCAUAGAGGGUGAUAGUCCCGUAUGCGAAAAACAAACCUUAGCUAGCAGUAUCCUGAGUAGGGCGGGACACGAGGAAUCCUGUCUGAAUCCGGGUCGACCACGAUCCAACCCUAAAUACUAAUACCAGAUCGAUAGUGCACAAGUACCGUGAGGGAAAGGUGAAAAGAACUGAGGUGAUCAGAGUGAAAUAGAACCUGAAACCAUUUGCUUACAAUCAUUCAGAGCCCUAUGUAGCAAUACAGGGUGAUGGACUGCCUUUUGCAUAAUGAGCCUGCGAGUUGUGGUGUCUGGCAAGGUUAAGCAAACGCGAAGCCGUAGCGAAAGCGAGUCUGAAUAGGGCGCUUAGUCAGAUGCUGCAGACCCGAAACGAAGUGAUCUAUCCAUGAGCAAGUUGAAGCUAGUGUAAGAACUAGUGGAGGACUGAACCCAUAGGCGUUGAAAAGCCCCGGGAUGACUUGUGGAUAGGGGUGAAAGGCCAAUCAAACUUCGUGAUAGCUGGUUCUCUCCGAAAUAUAUUUAGGUAUAGCGUUGUGUCGUAAUAUAAGGGGGUAGAGCACUGAAUGGGCUAGGGCAUACACCAAUGUACCAAACCCUAUCAAACUCCGAAUACCUUAUAUGUAAUCACAGCAGUCAGGCGGCGAGUGAUAAAAUCCGUCGUCAAGAGGGAAACAACCCAGACUACCAGCUAAGGUCCCUAAAUCUUACUUAAGUGGAAAACGAUGUGAAGUUACUUAAACAACCAGGAGGUUGGCUUAGAAGCAGCCAUCCUUUAAAGAAAGCGUAAUAGCUCACUGGUCUAGUGAUUUUGCGCGGAAAAUAUAACGGGGCUAAAGUAAGUACCGAAGCUGUAGACUUGCGCACAACUUAGAUUAUUUAAGUUUAGAAUAUGAGAAACUAAGUUAUAUGUUUAGUUAUAUUUUUACUGAUUUUUAUAGAGUAAAGAUAGAAAUAAAACUUAGUAAAAUCAGUAAAAAUAUUCUUAGACUAAAGUUAAGUAGUUUAAGUUGUGUGCAAGUGGUAGGAGAGCGUUCUAUUUGCGUCGAAGGUAUACCGGUAAGGAGUGCUGGAGCGAAUAGAAGUGAGCAUGCAGGCAUGAGUAGCGAUAAUUAAUGUGAGAAUCAUUAACGCCGUAAACCCAAGGUUUCCUACGCGAUGCUCGUCAUCGUAGGGUUAGUCGGGUCCUAAGUCGAGUCCGAAAGGGGUAGACGAUGGCAAAUUGGUUAAUAUUCCAAUACCAACAUUAGUGUGCGAUGGAAGGACGCUUAGGGCUAAGGGGGCUAGCGGAUGGAAGUGCUAGUCUAAGGUCGUAGGAGGUUAUACAGGCAAAUCCGUAUAACAAUACUCCGAGAACUGAAAGGCUUUUUGAAGUCUUCGGAUGGAUAGAAGAACCCCUGAUGCCGUCGAGCCAAGAAAAGUUUCUAAGUUUAGCUAAUGUUGCCCGUACCGUAAACCGACACAGGUGGGUGGGAUGAGUAUUCUAAGGCGCGUGGAAGAACUCUCUUUAAGGAACUCUGCAAAAUAGCACCGUA